UACGGGGGGAGCAAGCGUUGUUCGGAUUUACUGGGCGUAAAGGGCGCGUAGGCGGUCGUGACAAGUCACUUGUGAAAUCUCCGGGCUUAACUCGGAACGGUCAAGUGAUACUGUCGGACUAGAGUACAGAAGGGGCAACUGGAAUUCUCGGUGUAGCGGUGAAAUGCGUAGAUAUCGAGAGGAACACCUGCGGCGAAGGCGGGUUGCUGGGCUGAUACUGACGCUGAAGCGCGAAAGCUAGGGGAGCGAACGGG
rnacentral:rRNA from 1 species